rnacentral:rRNA from 1 species
ACGAACGCUGGCGGCACGCUUAACACAUGCAAGUCGAACGAGAGAAGAGAAGCUUGCUUUUCUGAUCUAGUGGCGGACGGGUGAGUAACACGUGAGCAAUCUGCCUUUCAGAGGGGGAUACCGAUUGGAAACGAUCGUUAAUACCGCAUAAUAUAAUUGAACCGCAUGAUUUGAUUAUCAAAGAUUUAUCGCUGAAAGAUGAGCUCGCGUCUGAUUAGCUAGUUGGUAAGGUAACGGCUUACCAAGGCGACGAUCAGUAGCCGGACUGAGAGGUUGAUCGGCCACAUUGGGACUGAGACACGGUCCAGACUCCUACGGGAGGCAGCAGUGGGGAAUAUUGCACAAUGGAGGAAACUCUGAUGCAGCGAUGCCGCGUGAGGGAAGAAGGUUUUAGGAUUGUAAACCUCUGUCUUCAGGGACGAAAAAUGACGGUACCUGAGGAGGAAGCUCCGGCUAACUACGUGCCAGCAGCCGCGGUAAUACGUAGGGAGCGAGCGUUGUCCGGAAUUACUGGGUGUAAAGGGAGCGUAGGCGGGAUCGCAAGUCAGAUGUGAAAACUAUGGGCUUAACCCAUAAACUGCAUUUGAAACUGUGGUUCUUGAGUGAAGUAGAGGUAAGCGGAAUUCCUAGUGUAGCGGUGAAAUGCGUAGAUAUUAGGAGGAACAUCAGUGGCGAAGGCGGCUUACUGGGCUUUAACUGACGCUGAGGCUCGAAAGCGUGGGGAGCAAACAGGAUUAGAUACCCUGGUAGUCCACGCCGUAAACGAUGAUUACUAGGUGUGGGGGGACUGACCCCUUCCGUGCCGCAGCAAACGCAAUAAGUAAUCCACCUGGGGAGUACGACCGCAAGGUUGAAACUCAAAGGAAUUGACGGGGGCCCGCACAAGCAGUGGAGUAUGUGGAUUAAUUCGAAGCAACGCGAAGAACCUUACCAGGGCUUGACAUAUAGAGGAAUAAGCUAGAGAUAGUUUAGCUCUUCGGAGUCUCUAUACAGGUGGUGCAUGGUUGUCGUCAGCUCGUGUCGUGAGAUGUUGGGUUAAGUCCCGCAACGAGCGCAACCCUUACUGUUAGUUGCUACGCAAGAGCACUCUAGCAGGACUGCCGUUGACAAAACGGAGGAAGGUGGGGAUGACGUCAAAUCAUCAUGCCCCUUAUGACCUGGGCCUCACACGUACUACAAUGGCUGUCAACAGAGGGAAGCAAAGCCGCGAGGUGGAGCAAACCCCUAAAAGCAGUCUUAGUUCGGAUUGUAGGCUGCAACCCGCCUACAUGAAGUCGGAAUUGCUAGUAAUCGCAGAUCAGCAUGCUGCGGUGAAUACGUUCCCGGGCCUUGUACACACCGCCCGUCACGCCAUGGGAGUCGGUAACACCCGAAGCCUGUAGUCUAACCGCAAGGAGGACGCAGUCGAAGGUGGGAUUGAUGACUGGGGUG